rnacentral:misc_RNA from 1 species
UCAGUGGCCAACAAUCGUCAGGAUUGUUGAGCUGCAUUGGCGGGAUUUCGCCGUCUUCGUUUCUCUUUCUUCGCGGACGAACACGCGCUGGGGCUGCAAGUUUGCAGAGUCCCUGGUCCUUGACUGGAUAUGCGUUAGGGGCUUGUAGCUCAGUUGGUUAGAGCGCGCGCUUGAUAAGCGUGAGGUCGGAAGUUCAAGUCUUCCCAGGCCCACCACUUUCAUCGAGUGAGCAUUCGUCUUCUGGUUACGGGGCCAUAGCUCAGCUGGGAGAGCGCGUGCUUUGCAAGCAUGAGGUCGUCGGUUCGAUCCCGUCUGGCUCCACCAGAUGGUUUGAUCAUCGACUGAUCGUGCACCUAAAUCGUCCGCGAAACAUCACUUCGCAUCUUGCUAGUCUGGAUAGACAGCAAGUUGCGUGAUUUCUGACAUCGUAAAGAGGAGAUCGAUCCGAGUUGGAUCGUGCAGCAAGCAAUUGCUACGCGAGACUUCAUUAUCUCCGGAUCAUUUCGGCGCUCGUGCGUCUUUCAAGGGCAGCUCACAAGGCUGCUUCUGGAGAGACAAGCGAGUUGUAAAUGAUCCUUUUAGCGAAGCUUGACCGCCUCGCUAUCGGAACGAUCUUACGAAGCAAGCUGGUCUUUCUAAUCAUUGUCCGGCUGCAGAUAGCGUUCAUCGAGGGCGCGUGCCGCAAGGCAGUUCUGCAGACAACAUUCUGCCGAGUGUGUGGACAUUGAUAAUGAGAGCAAUCAAGUGCCUUAAGGGUGUUCGGUGGAUGCCUUGGCGCUGAGAGGCGAUGAAGGACGUGCUACGCUGCGAUAA